rnacentral:rRNA from 1 species
CCUACGGGAGGCAGCAGUGAGGAAUAUUGGUCAAUGGGCGGAAGCCUGAACCAGCCAAGUCGCGUGAGGGAUUAAGGCCCUGCGGGUCGUAAACCUCUUUUGCCGGGGAGCAGAGGUCCGGACGUGUCCGGGCCGGGAGAGUACCCGGAGAAAAAGCAUCGGCUAACUCCGUGCCAGCAGCCGCGGUAAUACGGAGGUUGCGAGCGUUAUCUGGAUUUAUUGGUUUUAAGGGGUGCGUAGGCGGGCAUUUAAGCCGGCGGUCAAAUGUCGGGGCUCAACCCCGGCCUGCCGUCGGAACUGGGUGCCUUGGGUGGGCGGGAAGUAUGCGGAAUGGGUGGUGUAGCGGUGAAAUGCAUAGAUAUCACGCAGAACCCCGAUUGCGAAGGCAGCAUACCGGCGCCCUACUGACGCUGAGGCACGAAAGUGCGGGUAUCGAACAGGAUUAGAUACCCUUGUGUC